rnacentral:tRNA from 1 species
UGGGGUAUGGUGGCAAUCUGGCAGUCCCGCCGGACUUUGACUCCGGAGGUGCAGGUUCGAGUCCUGCUACCCCAUCGA